AUUGUGCCCGUAAAGCUCCGGGAAUCCUGUGUCUAAUUUUACAACUUUAGAUAUAAGAGGAUUAGACGGGCACAAUUUCUUCACUGGGAUUGUCUAAGGACUUCGGAGACUUCGACAUGAAGGUCCAAGUGCAUGUUAUUUACUGUGGUGCCUGAGGGUAUAGACCAAAGUUUGAAAUGCUGAAGAGCACUAUCCAAGCGGAGUUCUCCAGUAAUGAGGUUGAAGUGACUUCUUAUGCAACCCCAAAUGUUACAGGCUACUUUGAAGUUUCAGUAAACGACCAGCUUGUUCACUCCAAAAAGAAUGGUGAUGGGUAUGUUGAUAGUGAAAAGAAGCUCGCCAAAAUCUUUGAUAGCAUCACCAAAGCGCUAGGGUGAAAUGUGUUUCGUCAUCAGGCAAGAAAACUUCCAGUUAGUGUUUAUGACAGGGUUGACUGAAACACAAGCAUGUGUGGCCAUUUCCUUGAUGAUAUGACAGCUCUACUGGAAAAAAUUUCUUAAACCUGAUUAAUAAAAGUAUCUCUUACUACCAA